rnacentral:ribozyme from 14 species
AAGAGAGCGAGACCAGAGAAGAAGGCACCAUAAUUGUGUUUUCGUAUUUAACUUCUUCUUCUUCUUCUUCUUUUUAUGUUCUGUUU